ACCGCAGAAGCCAGGCACACUGAGGUCAGCUCCUGCUGACUGCUGAGAGUGUAUGUGUCCAUAUACGAAGAGUGUGUGUGUGUGUGUGUGUGUGUGUGUGUGUGUGUGUGUGUGUGUGUGUGUGUGUGUGUGUGAGAAUGUGGGGGUUGGUUGGCUACAACAGAGCCUGGUUUCAAUCACUGGGGAUGAUGAGAGAGGGCGAGCGAGAUAUGAAGACAGAUAGGAGAGAUAGUGUGGGACAGCUUGAGAGGAGUUGGUGAAGGGAGGAGAAUUCUGUCCACCAGCGAUGUGAGGAAUUCAAAGAGAGAGAGGAGAGGACAGAAAAGGUUGCUUUGCAGGAGCUCUUUGCAGUUGGAGUAUCAGUGUUUAUGUUGAACCUCUGAGAUGUCUGGAUGAUUUGAGGAAAGCUGAGGAGCCGUCAUGUUGGUGCAACACUGUCUCUUCUCCAGCUCAAUCUGUGUCUACUGUGUUCUACCCAUAAAGUAAUUGAGCUUGUCUGGCCGGCUGGGAGAGGGUAUUGUUUUGAAGCUAAGCAUGUGUGUUUAAUGAUCAUAUAGAAUGCAUCCAUGAGUUAAUCCAUGCCUA